UUUAUUACAUGUCAUACUUGAUCAAUUAAGAAAAUAAUCAACCGUUUGAUCAAUUACAAAUGAUGAUUAUUUGCAGCUCCUAUCAGUCAGUAUAAGAAAAGUAUGUCACAGCCUUUAUAUCAUGCCUGGUCAUAAUGUGUUACAUCAUCCCCGCUGUACUUCCCCUGUCUUUGACCUGCAGUGGCAGUGUUUGUGCAGUAGGUGGUGCUGUUGCAGCCUGAUUCACUCCAUCCCUCUAAUAAACACUGGCUUCCAA